UCAGGUAGGACUACCCGCUGAACUUAAGCAUAUCAAUAAGCGGAGGAAAAGAAACUAACAAGGAUUCCCCUAGUAACUGCGAGUGAAGCGGGAAAAGCUCAAAUUUAAAAUCUGGUGGUCUUCGGCCAUCCGAGUUGUAAUCUAGAGAAGCGUUACCCGCGUCGGACCGUGUACAAGUCUCCUGGAAUGGAGCAUCAUAGAGGGUGAGAAUCCCGUCUUUGACACGGACUACCGAGGCUUUGUGGUACGCUCUCAAAGAGUCGAGUUGUUUGGGAAUGCAGCUCAAAAUGGGUGGUAAAUUCCAUCUAAAGCUAAAUAUUGGCGAGAGACCGAUAGCGAACAAGUACCGUGAGGGAAAGAUGAAAAGAACUUUGGAAAGAGAGUUAAACAGUACGUGAAAUUGCUGAAAGGGAAACGCUUGAAGUCAGUCGCGUUGGCCGGAAAUCAGCCUUGCUUUUGCUGGGUGUAUUUUCUGGUUGACGGGCCAGCAUCAGUUUUGACCGGUGGAAAAAGUCUAGAGGAAUGUGGCAUCUUCGGAUGUGUUAUAGCCUUUGGUCGUAUACAUCGGUUGGGACUGAGGAACUCAGCACGCCGCAAGGCCGGGUCUUUGACCACGUACGUGCUUAGGAUGCUGGCAUAAUGGCUUUAAUCGACCCGU
rnacentral:rRNA from 1 species